rnacentral:rRNA from 1 species
GUCUUUAAGAUUAAAUUUAAAGUCCAAUCUGCUCACUGAAAAUUAAAGAGCCGCAGUAUUUUAACUGUGCAAAGGUAGCAUAAUCAAUAGUUUUUUAAUUGGAAACUGGAAUGAAUGAUUAAACGAAAAAUUGACUUUCUUUGAUUUAAAAAUUGAAUUUAAAUUUUAAGUUAAAAUUCUUAAUUAAAUUUAAAAGACGAGAAGACCCUAUAGAUUUUUAUUAAUAAAAUUUAUAUAAUAAAAAUAUAUUUUUAUUAAUUUGAUUGGGGUGAUAUUAUUACAAAAAAAACUAAAAUUAAUAAAACCAUAAAUAAUUGAAGUUUUUGAUUUAAAUAUUUUAAAUAAAAGAUUAAAUUACCUUAGGGAUAACAGCGUAAUUUUAUUUAAGAGUUCAUAUCUAUAAUAAAGAUUGCGACCUCGAUGUUGAAUUAAGAAAUUUAUUGGAGUAGAAAUUAAUAUAAAUUAGUCUGUUCGACUAUUAAAUUCU